UACGUAGGGGGCAAGCGUUAUCCGGAUUUACUGGGUGUAAAGGGAGCGUAGACGGCAGUGCAAGUCUGGAGUGAAAGGCGGGGGCUCAACCCCCGGACUGCUCUGGAAACUGUACGGCUGGAGUGCAGGAGAGGUAAGUGGAAUUCCUAGUGUAGCGGUGAAAUGCGUAGAUAUUAGGAGGAACACCAGGGGCGAAGGCGGCUUACUGGACUGUAACUGACGUUGAGGCUCGAAAGCGUGGGGAGCAAACAGG
rnacentral:rRNA from 1 species